rnacentral:rRNA from 1 species
UACGUAGGGGGCUAGCGUUGUCCGGAAUCAUUGGGCGUAAAGCGCGUGUAGGCGGCCCGGUAAGUCCGCUGUGAAAGUCCGGGGCUCAACCCCGGGAGGCGGGUGGAUACUGUCGAGCUCGAGUCCGGAAGAGGCGAGUGGAAUUCCUGGUGUAGCGGUGAAAUGCGCAGAUAUCAGGAGGAACACCGAUGGCGAAGGCAGCUCGCUGGGACGUGACUGACGCUGAGACGCGAAAGCGUGGGGAGCAAACAGG